rnacentral:rRNA from 1 species
UACGGGGGGGGCAAGCGUUGUUCGGAAUUACUGGGCGUAAAGGGCUCGUAGGUGGCCAACUAAGUCAGACGUGAAAUCCCCAGGCUUAACCUGGGAACUGCGUCUGAUACUGGAUGGCUUGAAUUCGGGAGAGGGAUGCAGAAUUCCAGGUGUAGCGGUGAAAUGCGUAGAUAUCUGGAGGAACACCGGUGGCGAAGGCGACAUCCUGGACCGGUAUUGACGCUGAGGCGCGAAAGCCAGGGGAGCAAACGGG